CCUACGGGAGGCAGCAGUGGGGAAUUUUGCACAAUGGGGGAAACCCUGAUGCAGCGACGCCGCGUGAUUUAGAAAGUCUUCGGAUUGUAAAAAUCUUUUGUAUAGGAAGAAAAUGACAGUACUAUACGAAUAAGGUCCGGCUAAUUACGUGCCAGCAGCCGCGGUAAUACGUAAGGACCGAGCGUUGUCCGGAAUCAUUGGGCGUAAAGGGUACGUAGGCGGUCUAGUAAGUUAGAAGUGAAAGGCAAUAGCUCAACUAUUGUAAGCUUUUAAAACUGCUAGACUUGAGAGAUUGAAGGGAAAGUGGAAUUCCUAGUGUAGCGGUGAAAUGCGCAGAUAUUAGGAGGAAUACCAGUGGCGAAGGCGACUUUCUGGCAAUCAUCAGACGCUGAGGUACGAAAGCGUGGGUAGCAAACAGGAUUAGAUACCCCAGUAGUC
rnacentral:rRNA from 1 species